rnacentral:rRNA from 1 species
GACGAACGCUGGCGGCGUGCUUAACACAUGCAAGUCGAACGGAAAGGCCCUUCGGGGUACUCGAGUGGCGAGCGGGGGAGUAACACGUGGGGGAUCUGCCCCGCACUUUGGGAUAAGCCUGGGAAACUGGGUCUAAUACCGGAUACGACCACGGCAUUCAUGUGCUGUGGUGGAAAGCUUUUGCGGUGUGGGAUGGGCCCGCGGCCUAUCAGCUUGUUGGUGGGGUAAUGGCCUACCACGGCGACGACGGGUAGCCGGCCUGAGAGGGUGACCGGCCACACUGGGACUGAGAUGCGGCCCGGACUGCUACGGGAGGCAGCGGUGGGGAAUAUUGCACAAUGGGCGCAAGCCUGAUGCAGCGACGCCGCGUGAGGGAUGACGGCCUUCGGGUUGUAAACCUCUUUCGCCAGGGACGAAGCGCCAGUGACGGUACCUGGAGAAGAAGGACCGGCCAACUACGUG